GAUGAACGCUGGCGGCGUGCCUAAUACAUGCAAGUCGAGCGAACGGACGAGAAGCUUGCUUCUCUGAUGUUAGCGGCGGACGGGUGAGUAACACGUGGAUAACCUACCUAUAAGACUGGGAUAACUUCGGGAAACCGGAGCUAAUACCGGAUAAUAUUUUGAACCGCAUGGUUCAAAAGUGAAAGACGGUCUUGCUGUCACUUAUAGAUGGAUCCGCGCUGCAUUAGCUAGUUGGUAAGGUAACGGCUUACCAAGGCAACGAUGAAUAGCCGACCUGAGGGGGUGAUCGGCCACACUGGAACUGAGACACGGUCCAGACUCCGACGGGAGGCAGCAGUAGGGAAUCUUCCGCAAUGGGCGAAAGCCUGACGGAGCAACGCCGAGUGAGUGAUGAAGGUCUUCGGAUCGUAAAACUCUGUUAUUAGGGAAGAACAUAUGUGUAAGUAACUGUGCACAUCUUGACGGUACCUAAUCAGAAAGCCACGGCUAACUACGUG
rnacentral:rRNA from 1 species